rnacentral:rRNA from 1 species
UACGGAGGGUGCGAGCGUUAUCCGGAAUUACUGGGUUUAAAGGGUGCGUAGGCGGCCCUGUAAGUCAGGAGUGAAAGUUUGCGGCUCAACCGUAAAAUUGCUUUUGAUACUGCGGGGCUAGAAUUAGGAUGAGGUCAGCGGAAUGUGGCAUGUAGCGGUGAAAUGCAUAGAUAUGCCAUAGAACACCAAUUGCGAAGGCAGCUGGCUAGACCUGGAUUGACGCUGAGGCACGAAAGCGUGGGGAGCGAACUGG